CUUGAAUUCUACGAUGAGAAGUAUAUCGAGGAUGUAAUAUUUAACGUGAGGCGUAACGGCAGGAAAAGUGGCUAUUUAGUCAAUUUAGAGGGAACUCUCAAAUAUGCUUGGAGUGAUAAUAUCUCGUUACACAUUUAUCUAUACGAGUUCCUUCACAAUGAAUACAGACCCACGUUCGUGGAGUUUCAUUUUGAGAAGUUCUGUCAGUUGAUAAAAGAUAAGCUCAUUGGAAAGGCUUUAAACAAUGCUGGACUUACCAAGUGCCCUCUUACACCGAAACGUUACGUCCUGUCAAAUAUGUCAAUGCCAUUUGAUAACUUUCCCUACAUCUGGCCAUUCGAGAAAGCGAGAGGAGAUGGAAUAUUUAUUUUUAA